rnacentral:tRNA from 1 species
UGGGGGAUAGCUCAGUGAUAGGGCGCUCCCUUAGCAUGGGAGAUGGCUGGGUUCAAACCCCAUUCCUUCAA